GAUCUCGCAGGAGCCUCGUGGUGA
rnacentral:siRNA from 1 species